rnacentral:misc_RNA from 1 species
CAAUACAAGGAUCCCAUAACUAUACACAUCUCCCUCUUUUGAUGGAAUGCCACCCAAUCCAUACUCUGGAGGCACAUAGCCGACAGUCCCCAAUAUUCCAACUAAGCUGGUUUCAUUUUGUGAUGCAUCAUUGGUUUUCAAGAAUAGCUUAGCCAAACCGAAAUCACUUAAAUAUGCAACCAUGUCAACAUCGAGAAGAACAUUGCUUGGCUUCAAGUCACAAUG